rnacentral:rRNA from 1 species
UACGUAGGGUGCGAGCGUUAAUCGGAAUUACUGGGCGUAAAGCGUGCGCAGGCGGUUUUGUAAGCCAGAUGUGAAAUCCCCGGGCUCAACCUGGGAAUGGCAUUUGGGACUGCAAGGCUGGAGUACGGCAGAGGAGACUGGAAUUCCUGGUGUAGCAGUGAAAUGCGUAGAGAAUCAGGAGGAAUACGAUGGCGAAGGCAGGUCUCUGGGCUGAUACUGACGCUCAUGCAC